rnacentral:rRNA from 1 species
CAAGACGAGUAGAGUGGCGAAAGGGCGAGUAAUGCAUGGGUAACGUACCCCAAGCCCAGGGAUAGCCGCGGGAAACUGCGGAUAAUACCUGACGAGACCACAGCUCCUCCAGGAGCAGGGGUCAAAGGUGGGGACCUUCGGGCCUAUCGGCCUGGGAGCGGCCCAUGUCCUAUCAGCUUGUUGGUGAGGUAACGGCUCACCAAGGCGACGACGGGUAGCGGGACUGAGAGGUUGGCCCGCCGCACUGGGACUGAGACACUGCCCAGACUCCUACGGGAGGCUGCAGUAACGAAUCUUGUCCAAUGGGCGCAAGCCUGAGACAGCAAUGCCGCGUGCGGGACGAAGUCCUUCGGGAUGUAAACCGCUGUCAGGGGUUAGGAAGCAAUGAGGGCCAAUACCCCUCAACGUUGACCAGCCCCAGAGGAAGCCACGGCUAACUUCGUGCCAGCAGCCGCGGUAAUACGAAGGUGGCGAGCGUUAUUCGGAAUCACUGGGCUUAAAGAGCACGUAGGCGGACAGUCAAGCGUCUUGUGAAAUCCCUCGGCUUAACCGAGGAACUGCUUGGCGAACUGGCUGUCUUGAGGCAAGUAAGGGCGCGUGGAACUCUUGGUGGAGCGGUGGAAUGCGUAGAUAUCAAGAGGAACGCCGGAGGUGAAGACGGCGCGCUGGGCUUGUCCUGACGCUGAGGUGCGAAAGCCAGGGGAGCGAACGGGAUUAGAUACCCCGGUAGUCCUGGGCCCUAAACGAUGUCCACUACGUCGAUGGUUCUCUGACGGAUUGUCGGCCGAAAACCAAAGCGUUAAGUGGACCGCCUGGGGAGUACGGUCGCAAGGUUAAACUUCAAAGGAAUCGACGGGGACUCACACAAGCGGUGGAGCAUGUUGCUUAAUUCGAUGCAACGCGAAGAACCUUAUCCUGGGCUUGACAUGUUAUGGAUGCCUACCUGGAAACAGGAUCGGUUGCCCUUCGGGGUGAACUUUACACAGGUGCUGCAUGGCUGUCGUCAGCUCGUGUCGUGAGAUGUUGGGUUAAGUCCCGUAACGAGCGAA